CAUCUUCUGAGGCACAAAAUAGGGAGGAGAAAAGAUGCCCUGGGUUCAACUGAGACAGGCAAGGGAAGAACUGGAAUGAAGGUCAGGCUUGUACAGGACUCAAGUUGAUCAGUGAGUCAUAGUUUGUUUGUUUCCCUAUUAAUAACCACUGGAUAUAUUUUUUUUUUAGUUAUUCCACUG
rnacentral:lncRNA from 1 species